GCCUAACUGGCUCAGUCAGUAGAGCAUGAGACUCUUGAUCUUGGGGUCCUGAGUUUGAGGCCCACGUUGGGCA
rnacentral:tRNA from 1 species